UGGGGAAUUUUGGACGAAUUGGGCGAAAGCCUGAUCCAGCAAUGCCGCGUGUGUGAAGAAGGCCUUCGGGUUGUAAAGCACUUUUGUCCGGAAAGAAAUCCUUGGCUCUAAUACAGUCGGGGGAUGACGGUACCGGAAGAAUAAGCACCGGCUAACUACGUGCCAGCAGCCGCGGUAAUACGUAGGGUGCAAGCGUUAAUCGGAAUUACUGGGCGUAAAGCGUGCGCAGGCGGUUUGCUAAGACCGAUGUGAAAUCCCCGGGCUCAACCUGGGAACUGCAUUGGUGACUGGCAGGCUAGAGUAUGGCAGAGGGGGGUAGAAUUCCACGUGUAGCAGUGAAAUGCGUAGAGAUGUGGAGGAAUACCGAUGGCGAAGGCAGCCCCCUGGCAAGUACUGACGCUCAUGCACG
rnacentral:rRNA from 1 species